AAACAUCGCUCUUUGAAAUAGAGCUAGAUAAAGAGUUGGGCCUGCCCAGUGAUAGAUUUUAAACGGCCGCGGUACUCUGACCGUGCAAAGGUAGCAUAAUCAUUUGCCCUAUAAUUGAGGGCUUGUAUGAAUGGUUUGACAAAAGCGAUGCUGUCUCUGAGGAAUUUUAUAGAAUUUAGUUUUUAGGUGAAGAAACCUAAAUAUAAUUAAAAGACAAGAAGACCCUAUUGAGCUUUAAAAGAGUUUAUUAGUAAAUAUGUUAGGUAGAUUGGAUUUAAUAAAAAAUUUUAGUUGGGGCGACUAAGGAACAUAAAAAGCUUCCUUUGUGGGUGCUAAAACUUACAUGUUUUGAUCCAGUGUGGCUGAUUAGAGGAAUUAGUUACCAUAGGGAUAACAGCAUAAUCUUUUUUGAGAGCUCAUAUCGAAAAAAAGGCUUGUGACCUCGAUGUUGGACUAGAAUAUCCUGAAGAUGCAGAAGUCUUCUAUGGUUGGUCUGUUCGACCAUUAAUAUUCUACAUGAUCUGA
rnacentral:rRNA from 1 species